GACGAACGCUGGCGGCGUGCUUAACACAUGCAAGUCGAACGAAGAGCGAUGGAAGCUUGCUUCUAUCAAUCUUAGUGGCGAACGGGUGAGUAACGCGUAAUCAACCUGCCCUUCAGAGGGGGACAACAGUUGGAAACGACUGCUAAUACCGCAUACGAUCCAACCUCGGCAUCGAGGAUGGAUGAAAGGUGGCCUCUAUUUAUAAGCUAUCACUGAAGGAGGGGAUUGCGUCUGAUUAGCUAGUUGGAGGGGUAACGGCCCACCAAGGCAAUGAUCAGUAGCCGGUCUGAGAGGAUGAACGGCCACAUUGGGACUGAGACACGGCCCAGACUCCUACGGGAGGCAGCAGUGGGGAAUCUUCCGCAAUGGACGAAAGUCUGACGGAGCAACGCCGCGUGAGUGAUGACGGCCUUCGGGUUGUAAAGCUCUGUUAAUCGGGACGAAAGGUCCUCUUGCGAAUAGUUAGAGGAAUUGACGUACCG
rnacentral:rRNA from 1 species